GAGGGUAUAGCUCAGUGGUAGAGCAUGUGCUUAGCAUGCACAAGGUCCUGGGUUCAAUCCCCAGUACCUCCA
rnacentral:tRNA from 1 species